UACGGGGUGGGCAAGCGUUGUUCGGAAUUACUGGGCGUAAAGGGCUCGUAGGUGGCCAACUAAGUCAGACGUGAAAUCCCUCGGCUUAACCGGGGAACUGCGUCUGAUACUGGAUGGCUUGAGUUUGGGAGAGGGACGCGGAAUUCCAGGUGUAGCGGUGAAAUGCGUAGAUAUCUGGAGGAACACCGGUGGCGAAGGCGGCGUCCUGGACCAAUACUGACACUGAUGAGCGAAAGCCAGGGGAGCAAACGGG
rnacentral:rRNA from 1 species